UCUCAUACCAUCUCAUUAUCCCAACACAAAAAACCCAAGAAAUGCACCACUUAACAAUCACCCUUGAUCAAAAUCUUGCAUCUCCAUUCAUCAUUUUUCCUAUAUAUUCUCUUCAUAAACACUACAAAGACCCACCCAUGCGCACAGCCUUAUCCCUCUUCCGUACACUCACCACCGCCGUCCCCCACUACCGCCGCCGCCGUCUCCUGACCCCCAUCUUCUCACCACAAAACCCAAUUCGAAUUAGCCUUUUUUGCUCCCAAUCUUCAGUCAGUAAUUUUGUCGAACAUUUGGUGAGCCAAGAUGAAAGUUUGGAUUUUGAUAAUGAUAAUGAGAGUUUUAAGUUUGAACCUUGUUUUGGGUCGAAUCUUGAUGAUUCAAAGAACUUAAAUUCGCCUGCUUUAGAUGUUAAGGAACUUGAUGAGUUGCCUGAACAGUGGAGAAGGUCUAAAUUGGCUUGGCUGUGUAAAGAGCUUCCCUCACAUAAGGCGCCUACUCUUGUUAGAAUAUUGAAUGCGCAACGAAAAUGGGUUAAUCAAGAUGACAUGACUUAUCUUGCUGUUCAUUGUAUGCGAAUUCGCGAAAAUGAAACUGGAGUUCGGGUUUACAAAUGGAUGAUGCAGCAACAUUGGUUUCGGUUUGAUUUUGCUCUUGCUACUAGGCUAGCGGAUUACAUGGGGAAGGAGAGAAAGUAUUUAAAAUGUAGGGAGAUAUUUGAUGACAUAAUUAAUCAUGGUUUAGUCCCUACAGAAUAUACUUUUCAUGUUUUGAUAGUUUCCUACCUUAGUUCAUCAAACCGUGGUUGUUUAGAUGAAGCGUGUGCUAUCUACAAUCAAAUGAUUCAAUUAGGAAAUUAUAGUCCCCGACUUAGCCUACAUAAUUCUCUCUUCAAAGCUAUUCUGACUGCACCCAAUGACACUUCAAAACGAUAUGUUAAUCAAGCGGAGUUCAUAUUUCAUCAAAUGGUAACAUCUGGAUUCAAGGUUCAUAAGGAUAUUUACAGUGGUCUUAUUUGGCUUCAUAGCCAUCAAGAUAAGAUAGAUAAAGAAAGAAUUGCAUCAUUAAGAGCUGAAAUGCAAUUAUCCGGAUUUGAAGAGAGUAAAGAUGUGCUUGUGUCUGCUUUGAGAGCUUGCUCAAAAGAAGGGGAUAUUGAAGAAGCUGAAGAGAUAUGGAAAAGGCUUCUUAGCUCAACUCACAACAUUCCUUCACAAGCUUUUGUAUAUAAAAUGGAAACUUAUGCCAGAAUUGGAGAACAUAUGAGAUCGUUGGAGGUAUUUAAGAGUAUGCAGGAACAAUUAGGUUCAGUGAGCGCUGGGGGAUUUCAUAAAAUGAUUGAAGUAUUGUGUAAAGCACAUGCUGCAGAACUCGCGGAGUCUAUCAUGAAAGAAUUUAUUGAAAGUGGUAAGAAGCCACUAAUGCCCUCAUUUAUUGAUUUAAUGGACAUGUAUUUUACACUAGGCAUGCAUAACAAGCUGGAGUAUACCUUUCUCCAGUCCCUGGAGAAAUGUUCUCCCAGUCGUACAAUCUUCAAUUUAUAUCUGAAAUCACUUGUACGUACUGGCAAACUUGAAAAAGCUGAAGAUAUAUUACGCCAAAUGCAGAAUCUUGAGGGUGUUGGUAUUGAUACCGAAUCUUGCAACAGUAUUUUAAGAGGGUAUUUAGAUAGCAGAGAGUAUCUUAAGGCAAAAAAGAUGUAUGCUUUAAUGAAUGAGAAAAAGUAUCAUAUUGAGUCUGAACUGAUUGAAAAUCUUGAACGUGUUUUGAGGUCAAAUGAAGAAGCCCUUAAGAACCCCUCACGUUUAAAGCUUAGCAAAGAACAACGAGAAGCUCUUGUGGGGUUACUGUUAGGUGGUUUACAGAUUGAAUCAGAUGAAAAAAGAAAGAGUCAUAUGCUCAUUUUCAAGUUUAAUGAGAACUCAGGUGUACAUAAGGUUCUGAAGAGGCAUAUAUGCAACGAAUAUAAUGAGUGGUUGGAUCUAUCUAAUAAACAAGAUGACCAAUUUACUACAAUUUCGCACUCUUAUUUUGGAUUUUAUGCAGACCAAUUUUGGCCACAAGGUCAGCCAGUUAUUCCAAAGUUAGUCCAUCGAUGGUUAUCGCCACGGGUUCUUGCAUAUUGGUAUAUGUAUGGGGGACAUAAAACAUCAUCAGGGGAUAUUUUGUUGAAGAUUAGGGGAAGUAAAGAUGGGGUUGAAAGAAUUGUCAAAACAUUACAGAAAAAGUCAUUGACUUGUAAAGUCAAACAAAAGGGGAGAGUGUAUUGGAUAGGUUUACUUGGAAGCAACUCGGCGUGGUUUUGGAAACUGGUGGACCCAUACAUUGUAAUGGAUUUAAAAAAUCUUUUAAAGCCAGGGCAUGUAUCCUCUGAUCUGAAGGAAGAGUCCCAAACCGUUGACUUCGAUAGAAGUGAUUCUGAUUAUUGUGAGGAUGAUAAUUGAUGCAUCAUAGGACUUCUUUUUGUCAUUUUUGUGAUGUUAUGACUUAACUGCGCAAAAGGCAAGAAGAAGGUUUCUUUUCUUUUCUUGCUGCACUGAAACUAAGUGUUGGCCAAUCUUUGUGACUUGGAUCUUGGAAUGAGCGAGUUCUACCAUAGUCACCCAAGACUUCUUUCAAUCUUAUUAUGAUGGUGGACAUUACCAUUAGAUACAAGACUGUCCUAAACUUUCCCAAGAACUUGGCUCCAGUAGAGUUCAAGGAAGGCGUACAAGGUUUAUUGAUGUAUUUCUGUAGGUCUCAGUCGAGUCUAACAUGGCUUGUGGGUGGCAAUUCGUUUGUUAUCAUUGGUAGAUGCAUCAGACUUUGGAUGAGUUGGGAAAGAUUUUUAAGAAUCUUUGCCCAACACCAACCAUUUGGCAUUAUCACUACAACAAUCACGAACGCAACAUCUGCAUUUCUUACAAUCACGAAGCCAUAUCAUCGUUUAUUUCACCAUGUAAAACCAACUCAACUCCUGUUGUCACUCAUCUUUCUCUCUAACAAUUGUAGAUCUCCUUAAUGUCAUGUGUGUGUGGGGAAAAACCUCUCCACGUUGAACGGCGAAUAAUGUCAUCCCAUUCUCAACACCCCGAUGCUGAGCACACCUAGGCUCACUGUCAUAUGCCGAACCCAUUUCGUUUGCUCUAAUGCAUAAUGGUAAGAAACCACAAGUUCUUUCAUAUUAAAGCAACCCCAAGCCCCAAGGGGAGUUUUUUCUUUCUUUUUUUUUUUCUUGUCAUGAGCCGCCUAUCACUUAAAUGUAUUCGUUGUAACUUGUGAGCCAUCGGAGAUGGGGAUGAUUUUUAGUGUGAUGGAAGCAGCGUGACCGUGGUCACAAUGUGGAGCUUUGUAUGAUAUUUUAUGUAUUAGGAUCUAGUUUUGUCAAUAUGAUCAUUGAAGUGAAAAAUAGUCAAAUGUGUGUUGAUAUGGAA